CGGUUCCACCCACUUUUCCAUUUUCUGAUCCAGUAACAAUUCGAAACUUUUAAAUCCCCUCUCGAUAAUCUCGCACAAUGCAUGUUCCAAAUCUAGAAUCUUUUGGUCCCAAGAUUGCACUUCCAUGAUCCGCUUUUUUCUUCCCCCUUGCCAGUCCUCAGAAGGCUGUGACACUAAAUUCAAAAGAAGAACAGAGAAGCAGAAAAGGGAAUUGAUAGGAAAAGAUUUAUUUUCAGGAAAAUUGGGAAAGAAUUAGAGAAAGAAGAUAGAUUAUUGAGUAGAAACCCUAGAAAUAGGGCUGUGACACUUCAGGAAGAAGAAUUAGAGUGACAGAAAAGGGAAGUUUAGGAAGAAAGCAAGAAAAGGAAAUAGAAAGGAGAAUUUCAAGAAGGAAAGAAAAAAGAAGAACAGAAGAAUCAGUAAUCAAAGGAAGCCAAGAAUCGAUGACUCUGAUGCCAAAUGUUAUGUAGUAAGGUCCUCAAUGGUCCCAAAAUUGCAGAACUGGAGAAUAAGAAUGCAGAGGGAAGAACAGAGUAGGAAUACAGAAGAAAGAAGAUCAUGAAAGAAGAAAAG
rnacentral:misc_RNA from 1 species